UACGGGGGGGGCAAGCGUUGUUCGGAAUUACUGGGCGUAAAGGGCGCGUAGGCGGCCUUCUAAGUCGGACGUGAAAUCCCUCGGCUUAACCGAGGAACUGCGUCCGAUACUGAAAGGCUUGAAUCCGGGAGAGGGAUGUGGAAUUCCUGGUGUAGCGGUGAAAUGCGCAGAUAUCAGGAAGAACACCCGUGGCUAAGGCGGCUCUCUAGUACGGUACUGACGCUGAGACGCGAAAGCGUGGGGAGCGAACAGG
rnacentral:rRNA from 1 species